CCCUAUUGCAAAGGAACCUGUGCUCUAAGGUGUGAAGACGUACAUUGAUGCCCAUGAGAAGAUUUACUUGCCACCGCCUUCUGCGCAGCUUUUCCAUGUCGUGGCGUACCUUUCUUGUGUGACACAUUUGAUUCUUUCCCCCUAAUAAAUUACUAAGAGCCAGCAUUUACCUUUAUAUUCUUUUGUUAGUUAUCGAAACCUUCCAUAUACUAGCUUUUUACCCGUGCUUUGCUACGGAAUCAUUAAAUUUUUUUUUUUUACAACUGAAGACAACAUGAUACUCAGCUUAUGAACUAAUGCCAGCUCGAUGAUAGGUUUUGCUGAAUUUGAACUCCAACCCAAACUCAUGGACAUUGGAGAGGAAAUGCAGUAGUAAAGACUGUAAGGGAGGAUUAUGACUUGAAAUUUUAACUCAUGAGUUUGUACAAUCUACUUGUCAGGGGUGACAAGAGAAUGACUAGAAAGAAGUGAAUUGACGACCACCAACUCUAAACUUUAUAAGUAGAAAAGAUACACGCAAAUGAUUAAUUAUAAGUAUUGGAGGCAUGAGCAAAGUAUGUUAAACGGUAAAACGAAGUACUAAAGUUUUUGAAAUGUAUAGAGUACAUAACACAAUGCGAACACUAGUUGUGUUGUGUCAACGGUACUUGCACUGAUUAGAAAAAACCAAUUACUGACAGCCUGCCAAACACCUUCUAUGACAGGUAAGCCGUCAUAGGACGUUUUCCCACCAAUGGUGACUAGUAUCCAUUGACAAGUGGUUAGCUGUGCCUGCUCGUCAGCGGAGGUGCUCACAACUUAGCGCUUAGUCUACGGGUAAUUAUGUACGGACAGCUGGAACGAGUUCCCAGGGAGGGAGGUGUUCACUCACCAUAGAUUGUGGAGUAGUCUACGGCUUAGGCUGGUCAUAGUGGGAGUAACAAAGGUGGUAACUAAAGUGCCAACUAAGCAAUUUUGAUGAUGUGUCAUGUUAUUAAUGAGGAAAAAAAUGUUUAUGGUAACUAGAUAUGUUACUAUAACAUCACACAAACAAAUCAAGAUGAGUCUACAACCUAAUAAAUAACACAAUGCAUGACACCACAUAU
rnacentral:lncRNA from 1 species